AAUCAACGCUGGCGGCGCGCUUAACACAUGCAAGUCGAACGAGAAAGGGAGCAAUCCCUGAGUACAGUGGCGUACGGGUGAGUAACACGUGGGUGAUCUGCCUUUUAGUGGGGAAUAUCUCUGGGAAACCGGAGUUAAUACCGCAUAAGCUCGGAAGAGGAAAGCCGAAAGGCGCUGAGAGAGGAGCCCGCGGCCGAUUAGCUAGUUGGUGGGGUAAAGGCUCACCAAGGCANAGAUCGGUAGCCGGCCUGAGAGGGCACACGGCCACACUGGCACUGAAACACGGGCCAGACUCCUACGGGAGGCAGCAGUGGGGAAUCUUGCACAAUGGGGGCAACCCUGAUGCAGCGACGCCGCGUGAGCGAUGAACGCCCUUCGGGUGUAAAGCUCUUUCGACGGGAACGAUAAUGACGGUACCCGAGAAGAAGCU
rnacentral:rRNA from 1 species